rnacentral:rRNA from 1 species
GACAGAGGUCCCAAGCGUUAGGCGGAAUCACUGGGCUUAAAGCGUGUGUAGGCGGACUUCUAAGUACCUUGUGGAAUCCCACGGCUCAACCGUGGAACUGCUUGGUAUACUGGUUGUCUUGGGCCAUCUAGGGGCUAGCGGAACAAACGGUGGAGCGGUGAAAUGCGUAGAUAUCGUUUGGAACGCCAAUGGUGAAAACAGCUAGCUGGGGAUGUGCCGACGCUGAGACACGAAAGCCAGGGGAGCGAACGGG